CUCACCCAGGCAACCUUCGCCAUGCAAGCUUCAGCCCAGAGUUUUACACUAACUUUUUUAUGUUUCUACACUUUUAUACUUUGCUGCUAAGUUAUAGUGGAAAGGGUGAGUAGUUGGUUUAAAACAUCACUAUCCUAUACUGCCCGACACAUUUCACUCUCACUGAUUCACUGAUGCAUACAAUAUAGCUUCUCAAUGUAGCAUUGUAGUAUAUUCAGCUAUAUUUAUAUGUGGCAUAAGAUAAAAGGAUGCAGACAGAUUUGGAUGAGGUGGUGCUGUAGUUAACACCUACACCACCUUCACUGUUACUUUUAGCAUGCCUACUGCCCUGCAUAUCAGAAAUACUCAUGUUUACAAGCCCACUCAGAGAAAGAAGCCGUGGGUCCAUAGUCUGUCAUCGCCACAGGGAGUUAUGAAUGAAGGAGAACAGAGUGAGGCGAACCAGACAGUACUGAGGUGGACUGAGGGGUGGUGGGGUGUAGGUGAAGAAGUAAAAAAAAAUAUGAGCUAUGGAGGCUGGUUGCACAUGUGAAAGUCAUUACUCAGAUUCAGCUCUAAUACAACAUUUCUCCGAGAGGGAGGCCCAUCCCCCUCUUGUCCUUCUCUCUCCUUCUCUCCUCUCAUUGCCAGCUCACCGAGUCUCCUCUUUCACUCAAAGAAGGGGAAGAUGGGAGAAAAUGGAUAACCAAAAAUACAGAGAGAUGUGACCUCCCCUGAAAUAGGACCAAUAGGCAUUUUGAGAGCAAAGUUCCAGUCCCAUGACAAAAUCCCAUUUGUUCAGGGAACAGGCGGGUGUGAGGCCACAGUGACAGACCUAGAUGUUGGUAGAAGACGCAAGUCUCUCCCAUUGCUCCCCUGAACCCUACGACUCUCUCCCCUCUUCCCUCUUUUUCUUUUUUAUGCAAACUUUUUUGUCAGAGGGGCCCACUUCCUGUUGCAGAGGCCGAAAAAAAAAUGACAGAAGGCGAUUGGCGCUUGUGCAGAAACAUCUGGAAUUGCUUUAGCUCGGAGAGAGAGAGGGGUGUCAGGGUAGAGAGGGAGCUGAGCGCGUUCUGAUGGGGUAGAAAUAGAAAGUACAGACAAGACACAGAGGAAGAGGAGGGAGCGGAGGCUUGUAGAGAGAAAGAGAGACAGCGAGAGAGAGGGAGAGAGAGUGAGAGAGAAAGACAGAGGGAAAGACAGAGACAGAGGGAGGUGAGCAUGAGAAGAACAACAGAGCUCAGGCUGACCGACCUGGACAGCAGGGAUGGGGAGUUUAGAAAGUUUGCAAGGGGGUAGCUGGGGGGGAGGGGAGAUUCUGCAUAGUACUCCAGCGUCAAUUCCCCAAGAGUCCCAUCAACCCAUAUAUGGCCACCUCAUUUCCAGCCUACCUCACUCUCUCUCUCCCUCUCUUUUCACUCGCCCCUAUUUCCUUACGCCUACCCCGAGUGAGAGGACAGACAGAUCCCCAGCAGCUGAAAGUGCAAAUGUGCCACGUCAAGACUGGAUACCGAGCCUGGACCGAGCGGCCUUCUGGACAACACCCCCCCGCCCCUCCCAAGCAGUGGAAGACGUUUCCAGAGGUGGCACGCCGGAACGUCAUACAUCACAGCUGUUACGUCUUCAAGACUAAAGAGAUGAUAUCCUUUCUUCCUUCAGACUAAUGGAUCCUAUAGCAUGCCUGAUAUAUAUAGCAUGCCUGAUCACACACACACACACACACACACACACACACACACACACACACACACACACACACACACACACACACACACACACACAUACACACACAAACACACACACACACACGCACACACACACACACACACAUAGAGAGCGCAGGGGACGGUAGUUGAUUGAGCGUAUAUAAGUUUUGUGUGAUGUCUGCUUUUCCUCAGGCAGGACGGUGGCCCCUUGUUUGGGGUAGGGAACAGGAAUGCCAGUCUGCUCAGUGUUGGAGCAGAGAUUAAAACUCUGACCGGAUAACUACCACGGUGUGCUGUAUAUUGAUGGACUUUAGGGUGCAAGGCCUUCUGGAAAGGUUAAGCAACUCCUCGGGAUUUCCAAAUUAAUGACUAGAGAGGAGGAGGGGGAUGUGGGGGGGAUAGGAAAGCAGGGCCAACAGGAGGGAGGUUAGACAGCAGAGUUGAUGGAGGUGAGACGGGAGAGGGGAUGGGAUGGGGGUGCGGGGAGGAGGGGGUGGUGUAGUGGCGGGAGGGGGGGUUUGAGGUGGAGGUGUAGUAGUAAGUGUGUGGGGGGGGGGGGGGGAUUGCUGGGGGUCUGGUUGGUGGAUGGGUGGUUGGCGGAGGACUGUGCGGGUGGGGGCUGUAGAGUAGAAACAGCCAUGUGGGAUUUCUCUGGGCAGAUCUUGGAAGCUGGUGUUUGGACAAAGCCUCAGAUUUUCCAGCCAGGAAUGUGAACAGUCCCAGGGAGACUGCCAACCGCAAAGAGAGAGAGGCAGAGAGAGAGACGCAGAGAGAGAUGCAGAGAGAGAAAAAGAAAGUGAUACAGAGGCAGAGAGACGAGAAAGAGGUGACGGGGGAGAGUUUUAGAGAAUAGUAUAAAUAAUAUGUGGUCACAAAUAAAUCACGAAAGUGUGUGUGUGUGUGUGUGUGGGGGAGGGGGGAUUCUUUGAGAACACACAUUUGAAAAUGCAUGCAUCUAAUCUGAUCUCAUAUAAUAACAUGAAUAACUAAGAGAAGGAUCCCAGUCAUCCUGCCCUACGCCCAAGGUCCAUUGCUCGGAGGUCAGUAGGGAUUUGCUUGCGUUGAGUUUGUGCAUCGUUUGUUCAGCAGAUGCGCCGAGUCAAUGGCGUAACUGUGUUUGUUGAUGGCCAGAUACUUGUGUAGCGCAAUGGGGAUGACAGUAAGCGGAGGCAGACACAAACUGAGUGUGUGUGUGUGUGUGUGUGUGUGUGUGUGUGUGUGUGUGUGUGUGUGUGUGUACAAUAUGCAUGCCUGGAGCUGUGUCUAGGAAUACUGCGUGCUCUGAUGCAGUGUUUAUCUGAGAUUGAACGCCUGUCCCAGGAAGUGUAUAUUUUCCCUCACUAUUUGCAUGGCAGUUUGUUUACAUCAGACACUGUUCAUAUUAUAUACUGUAUAUAUAAGUUUGCUCACUGUGUGUGUGUGUGUGUGUGUGUGUGUGUGUGUGUGUGUGUGUGUGUGUGUGUGUGUGUGUGUGUGUGUGUGUGUGUGUGUGUGUGUGAGGGUGUGUGUGUGUAUCUGAAUGUCUCUGUGUGUUAAUUUGGCUUGGGGCAGCUCCAGCUGUGACAGACUGAACCGCUCCAAAUGCCUUUACUCCCAGAGGAGGAAGGCAAGAGGGGUAACAGAGAGGGGUGGGGGGUGUCAAGAGGAAUUAAUGGGGUGGACUGGAGGGGCUCAGUAUAAGGUGCUGUGAGUGCAGGAGCCUGGAGAAUUUUUGUGGGAUGGAUAAAGUACGCAAGCAAGUAAGCAAAGAUGGAGAUGGUGCAAAGAUGAAGACACUCAGAUGGAGUGUCAGGACGACCGGACAGACUGAUCGGUUAACGUGGGGUAAAGGGGCAAAGGGCACCAUUUGUAUUGCUCAGUGUGUGGCCUUUGGGGAUAUUGCUGCUAAAUGUUCCAAUUUUCCCUGAUCUGUAUUUCCGCUAACAGUAAGACUAAUGUCAAUCUGCUUGAUUUUUCAAUGUAUGUAUGUGCGACUUCAAUGCAGUGUGUGUGUGUGUGUGAAUAUAGUUCACGCACGCACAAAGUCAGAUCUUUGGCAGCUUCGUUCAGCGACACUCAGCGAUGCUUUUGAAGACUAUCAGUGUUGUGGUGUGUCUGCCUGUCUACACUUGCUGUGCAGACAUUCUGCUCCUGUACAGCAGGCACAGACAGGCAGACAGAUGGCAGCCCCGCAGGCAGACGGGUCUUUCAACCAAUCAUGGCAAGGCUCUCACCUACAGUGUUUAUAGAAGUCUUCCGUCGGUUCACUCCAUUCAUUCAAAGGAGAAGAACACACCCCAACACUUGGCCAUCCGUCUAAUGUCUUAACAUUUGAAUACUGCCCUAUGAGAUGUUGGUAUUAAUAAAGCUUUUAUUUACUUGUGCUCUUUAUAUUGAUGCAUUGAUUCUUUUAUUUUGUCAAGUCAAGCCAUUAAAAAUGUUCUUCGACAUUU